AAGUCGUAACAAGGUUUCCGUAGGUGAACCUGCGGAAGGAUCAUUAACACGUAUCCAACGUUAAACCCCCCCGUGCACUUUCAAUAUACACAUCGCUUCGUGACCCCUCUUGUGUCGGGAUUGAUGGUCGGGAAAAACAGGGAUCUAGGGAGUUGGUUGUCGGGGGAGAACCUCGCGAAAUAGAACCUCCAGAGCUGGAAUACCCGAACAACUGUUAACAAUGGAUAUCUUGGCUCUC
rnacentral:misc_RNA from 1 species